rnacentral:rRNA from 1 species
UACAGAGGGUGCGAGCGUUGUUCGGAAUCAUUGGGCGUAAAGCGCUUGUAGGCGGCUUGUUAAGUCGCGUGUGAAAUCCCUUGGCUCAACCAAGGAAGUGCGCGCGAAACUGGCGAGCUCGAGUGCCGGAGAGGGUCGCGGAAUUCCCGGUGUAGAGGUGAAAUUCGUAGAUAUCGGGAGGAACACCAGUGGCGAAGGCGGCGACCUGGACGGACACUGACGCUGAGACGCGAAAGCGUGGGGAGCAAACAGGAUUAGAUACCCUGGUAGUCCACGCUGUAAACGAUGGAUGCUAGCUGUGGCGGGUUUUGACCCCUGCCGUGGCGCAGCUAACGCAAUAAGCAUCCCGCCUGGGAAGUACGGCCGCAAGGCUAAA